rnacentral:rRNA from 1 species
UACGAACCGUGCGAACGUUGUUCGGAUUCAUUGGGCGUAAAGGGUGCGUAGGUGGCGCUGUAAGUCGGGUGUGAAAUCCUGAGGCUUAACCUCGGAACUGCAUUCGAUACUGCGGCGCUUGAGGACUGGAGAGGAGACUGGAAUUCAUGGUGUAGCAGUGAAAUGCGUAGAGAUCAUGAGGAAGACCAGUGGCGAAGGCGGGUCUCUGGACAGUUCCUGACACUGAGGCACGAAGGCCAGGGGAGCAAACGGG